CCCUAUGGGGUGCAGCAGGCCAUAGUCGCGGCGUUCGCCGAGGUUGUGGAGGAGUUUGCCGUAUUUCACAAAGAGGCCGUUGAGGAGUGAAUCGGAGGAAUGUCCCUUGCCGGGCUGAACCACCAGACCCACGGGCUUGUCGAUCACGAUGAGGUCGGCAUCCUCGUAGGUGACGGUAAAGGUGACCUUGGGGUUUGGCCGGAUGGCGAGUUUGAGGGGCGCAUCGGCUUUGGCCACUUCAGUGAUGGGGUCGACCGAGGGUUCGGUUGGGGAUUCAGACAUUUGGUUUACCACGAUUCAUAGAGAAACAGAAACGCAACACUCAUAGAUUGUAACGAAGUGGCUUACUGAAUGCUUUGAAAGCGGGGAUAUUUUGUGUGGGUAGGAAUUGGCGGGAGGGC
rnacentral:rRNA from 1 species